rnacentral:misc_RNA from 1 species
UUUUAAGUAAAACAUUAACAAUGGACAUACCUCCUAAUCAAACAAUUUAUAUAAACAAUUUAAAUGAAAAAGUUAAGAAAGAAGAAUUAAAGAAAGCUCUAUAUGCUAUUUUUACGCAAUUUGGCAGUAUCUUGGAUGUUGUUGCUAUGAAGACAUUAAAAAUGCGUGGUCAAGCAUUUGUAGUUUUUAAAGACAUACCAAGUGCAACUAAUGCUUUACGUUCAAUGCAAGGUUUUCCAUUUUAUGAUAAGCCAAUGAGGAUAGCUUACUGCCGCUCUAAAUCAGAUGCUGUAGCAAAGUUGGAAAAUACAUUUGUUCCACGCGAUAAAAAACUAAAAAGAAAAGUUGAUGAAACCAAGAAGAAACCAGCGAAGCAAUUGAGACAGAGUGUACCUAUUAUUCCACAAUCUAUGCCAGGACAUAUGCAAAUGCAAAUGCCUGAAAUUCCUAACCAGAUUCUUUUUCUUUCUGAGCUGCCUGAUGAAACAACUGAAAUUAUGUUAGCUAUGCUUUUUCAACAAUUUGAUGGCUACAAAGAGGUUCGGUUAGUACCCGGUCGACACGAUAUCGCUUUUGUUGAGUUUGAAGAAGCAGAAAAGGCUAGAAUUGCCAAAGAUACAUUAAAUGGUUUCAAAAUUACACCAACACAUGCAAUGAAAAUAACAUUUGCUCGAAAAUAAUUUUUUUUAAUGAAGAAGCUUUUUCGCUAGUUGAGUUGCACCUUAUUCAAGUGAAAAAAAUGUGAACAUAACUGAUGUUGUAUUCUAACUAUUCUGUCGUAUGCGGAUAUUUCUAUACAGAUUAAAGAAAAGAUGAGCACAAUCGAAAA